rnacentral:tRNA from 1 species
UGGCUCAGUUGGUAGAGUGUGGCACUUGCAACGUCAGGGUUGUGGGUUCGAUUCCCAU